CCUACGGGCGGCAGCAGUGGGGAAUAUUGGACAAUGGGGGCAACCCUGAUCCAGCCAUGCCGCGUGUGUGAAGAAGGCCCUCGGGUUGUAAAGCACUUUCAGUGAGGAAGAACGCCUGGUGGUUAAUACCCAUCAGGAAAGACAUCACUCACAGAAGAAGCACCGGCUAACUCCGUGCCAGCAGCCGCGGUAAUACGGAGGGUGCGAGCGUUAAUCGGAAUUACUGGGCGUAAAGCGCGCGUAGGUGGCUUGAUAAGCCGGUCGUGAAAGCCCCGGGCUCAACCUGGGAACGGCAUCCGGAACUGUCAAGCUAGAGUGCAGGAGAGGAAGGUAGAAUUCCCGGUGUAGCGGUGAAAUGCGUAGAGAUCGGGAGGAAUACCAGUGGCGAAGGCGGCCUUCUGGACUGACACUGACACUGAGGUGCGAAAGCGUGGGUAGCAAACAGGAUUAGAUACCCGUGUAGUC
rnacentral:rRNA from 1 species